rnacentral:rRNA from 1 species
CACGUAGGGCGCAAGCGUUGUCCGGAAUUAUUGGGCGUAAAGAGCUCGUAGGUGGUUUGUUACGUCUGCUGUGAAAACCUAGGGCUUAACCCUGGGCUUGCAGUGGAUACGGGCAGACUAGAGGUAGGUAGGGGAGAAUGGAAUUCCUGGUGUAGCGGUAAAAUGCGCAGAUAUCAGGAGGAACACCGGUGGCGAAGGCGGUUCUCUGGGCCUUACCUGACACUGAGGAGCGAAAGCGUGGGGAGCGAACAGG